rnacentral:rRNA from 1 species
AACGAACGCUGGCGGCAUGCCUAACACAUGCAAGUCGAACGAAGUCUUCGGACUUAGUGGCGCACGGGUGCGUAACGCGUGGGAAUCUGCCCUUGGGUACGGAAUAACUCAGAGAAAUUUGUGCUAAUACCGUAUAAUGUCUUCGGACCAAAGAUUUAUCGCCCAAGGAUGAGCCCGCGUUAGAUUAGCUAGUCGGUAGGGUAAAAGCCUACCAAGGCGACGAUCUUUAGCUGGUCUGAGAGGAUGAUCAGCCACACUGGGACUGAGACACGGCCCAGGCGACGACGGGGGGCAGCAGUGGGGAAUAUUGGACAAUGGGCGAAACCAUGAUCCAGCAAUAGCGCGUGGGGGAUGAAGGCCUUAGGGUUGUGAAGCGCACGUGCCAGGGUGGAUAGUGGCAGUACCUGGAGAAUGAACGCCGGCGAUGUCCGGGCUAGCCGCCGCAGUAAAAC